ensembl:lncRNA
CAAAGGAAAACCUUUUAUUUUCAAAAAAUUAAAACAAAAAAUUAAGAUUAAGAUUGAGAAAUAAAUGAGGAUUGCUUUUUCAGAUGCUUAUGCAAGUAACAAGAAAAACCAAAAGCAUCUCUCACUUAAAUUCUUACAUUUGUAUAUCAGCUGCUUGCUUCACUAGGAACCCUCUAUUUUAUGCUGACCCUGAAGAUCUCACAGGGCUUCCCUGAUGGCUUGGUGGGUAAAGGAUCUGCCUACAAUGAAGAAGACCUGUGUUUGAUCCCUGGAUCGGGAAGAUCCCCUGGCUUCCCAUGUGGUUCAGCUGGCACCCCGCUCCAGUACUCUUGCCUGGAGAAUCUCAUGGACGGAGAAGCCUGGUGAGCUGCAGUCCAUGGGGUCGCUAAGAGUUGGACACGACUGAGCGACUUCACUUUCACUUUUCACUUUCAUACAUUGGAGAAGGAAAUGGCAACCCACUCCAGUGUUCUUGCCUGGAGAAUUGCAGGACAGGGGAGCCUGGUGGGCUGCCUUCUAUGGGGUCACACAGAAUCAGACAUGACUAAAGCGACUUAGCAGCAGCAGCAUAGUCUUAAAAUGUGAAGACAUUUUCACACAAAACUUGGUUAUCCUUCUUCAACAUUAAUUUGAUCAAAC